CAAAAGAUAGUUUAACGUAAAGCAGCAGCUUUGGGAGUUGCAGAUGUAGGUGCAAACCCUACUCUUUUGA
rnacentral:tRNA from 1 species